ACCAAGGUCCCCUCUGUCUCAGUGGAUCUGCCUCUUCAGGACCUAACCUGUGUUUUGAGCAGUAGUACAAAGAGCUAACUUAACUGUGCCGAGAUACCUUUUGAAGAACUUUAUGUGGAUUAUUUCAGUUAAUGCUCAGGAAAGCUCAAAGAGAUGAGUAGUAAUACCCACAGGCAACUGAAGAAGAAAGAAAAGUGAAAAACGAUCCUGCCUCAGAGGAAAACAUUACCCACAGGAGUACGCUGAUGUAGGGAGGCAGUUUGCAGUGUUCAGAACACGAGCACUGAGGAGACUCGAGCCCCACAUGGAUGCCACAGAGGCAGGUCAAAGCUGUGCAAGGAUCCUGGGACAAAACCUUGGCUAAGCUGGGCCAAACGUCUGCAAAACCAAAAGAAGAGCAGGAAGAUAAACAUAAAUCAUUUUCAGGUGAAUGUCGAAGAUGAAAAGCAGGAAAGUCAGAAUUAGUCAUCGAAUCCAGAGUGAGCAACAGAGCCAGAGGCUGGGCUCAAAGCGAG
rnacentral:lncRNA from 1 species